GAAUGUACAUGAAGAUUCAUAUUUCAAAGGAAAAGUUCAUAAUACUAUAAAGAUCAAAAUACCAUAUUCCCUGUCGUCAUGUAACAAAAAAGCUCAAGCUCAGCUCCAUAGCACCCCCUAAUUGGUUGGUAUCAUCAGCCUUUUCCGGUGUUGAUUGCAGCAUUUACAAAGUCUUCACAGCGGCUAAUUCCGCCGGACAAUACAUCAGCCAAAACUCCGAUUACAUCAAAUGCCUCCUGCAGAUCAGUGGCAGAGUUCAUUUCCUCCAGCCAUGUUAGCAACUCCUUCGAGAAUCCAACCAUUUCCCUUACAUUAUUAAGUCGCUCUUUCAUCACAACUUCCCAACUUUCCAGAUUUUGGCUUUCGCUUUCCUCUCCGGUUGUGGUGGCAGAUGUCGAUGUUCCUUCUUUUGCGCAAGAUGCG
rnacentral:misc_RNA from 1 species